rnacentral:rRNA from 2 species
UAAUACGUAGGUGGCAAGCGUUGUCCGGAUUUAUUGGGCGUAAAGCGAGCGCAGGCGGUUUUUUAAGUCUGAUGUGAAAGCCUUCGGCUCAACCGAAGAAGUGCAUCGGAAACUGGGAAACUUGAGUGCAGAAGAGGACAGUGGAACUCCAUGUGUAGCGGUGAAAUGCGUAGAUAUAUGGAAGAACACCAGUGGCGAAGGCGGCUGUCUGGUCUGUAACUGACGCUGAGGCUCGAAAGUAUGGGUAGCAAACAGGAUUAGAUACCCUGGUAGUCCAUACCGUAAACGAUGAAUGCUAAGUGUUGGAGGGUUUCCGCCCUUCAGUGCUGCAGCUAACGCAUUAAGCAUUCCGCCUGGGGAGUACGGCCGCAAGGCUGAAACUCAAAGGAAUUGACGGGGGCCCGCACAAGCGGUGGAGCAUGUGGUUUAAUUCGAAGCUACGCGAAGAACCUUACCAGGUCUUGACAUACUAUGCAAAUCUAAGAGAUUAGACGUUCCCUUCGGGGACAUGGAUACAGGUGGUGCAUGGUUGUCGUCAGCUCGUGUCGUGAGAUGUUGGGUUAAGUCCCGCAACGAGCGCAACCCUUAUUAUCAGUUGCCAGCAUUAAGUUGGGCACUCUGGUGAGACUGCCGGUGACAAACCGGAGGAAGGUGGGGAUGACGUCAAAUCAUCAUGCCCCUUAUGACCUGGGCUACACACGUGCUACAAUGGAUGGUACAACGAGUUGCGAACUCGCGAGAGUAAGCUAAUCUCUUAAAGCCAUUCUCAGUUCGGAUUGUAGGCUGCAACUCGCCUACAUGAAGUCGGAAUCGCUAGUAAUCGCGGAUCAGCAUGCCGCGGUGAAUACGUUCCCGGGCCUUGUACACACCGCCCGUCACACCAUGAGAGUUUGUAACACCCAAAGUCGGUGGGGUAACCUUUUAGGAACCAGCCGCCUAAGGUGGGACAGAUGAUUAGGGUGAAGUCGUAACAAGGUA